rnacentral:rRNA from 1 species
UGGGGAAUAUUGCACAAUGGGCGAAAGCCUGAUGCAGCGACGCCGCGUGGAGGACGAAGGUCUUCGGAUUGUAAACUCCUGUCAUGAGGGAACAAGAAAGGGAUAGUACUGCAAGAGGAAGAGACGGCUAACUCUGUGCCAGCAGCCGCGGUAAUACAGAGGUCGCAAGCGUUGUUCGGAUUCAUUGGGCGUAAAGCGUACGUAGGCGGCUUAUCAAGUCUGGGGUUAACGACCACGGCUUAACUGUGG